AAGCAGUAAGGGAAGAGAGGAGCCAGGGAUGAGGAUCCAGCCCUCCAGGUCGUGCCCCCAGCAACCCACUUCUUCCAAAAAGACCCCAACUCCCGACAGCACUUUCUGCUAUGAACGUAUCAGUGGAUCUAUUCACAGGUCCUAAAUGAUCAAAAACCGCCUUUGGGACGUAGUCCCGACUGAUCCGGAGGGGAGAAGAGGAGGAGACCUGGGCCUAACAGAGAUGCUCACCCUUCACAUCACUUCUUCCAGCAGUGCCACGGGCCAGCUCCACUCGCACCUUUUCUGGGUCACCAAAGACAACACGGAAGGUGACACACAGGCCUAGGAUGCAGCAGAAGGGCCGCAAAGGCAAGAAGACACCCACGAAGGCGCAGGACAGCGGUACCCAUGCACGGGACUGCACAGAGCUGCCCUGUGUGUGCUACCUGGAAAGGCCCCCUCCCGUCAGCCCCGGAGUCCUGGGUACAACAGCGACGCUGUCAAAUGAUUUACCAGGGAAGGGAAACCAGCAGCUCACUGAAGGCUGGGUAGGCCACGGGAAAGGCUGUUCUCCUUUUACUUCUACCCUGAACAGCUGAUUGCUGUUUCCUCCAAAGCAAAAGGAAGAAAUCAAAGCCGGCUCACAAAAUCUACCACUCCGCAGUGCAGAGCUGCCAGCACCAUCCCGUUACCAAGGAGGAAGUCUAGCGGCCUAAAAUGAGAACAUCACAGAUCUAGAAAAUGUGGCAGAGAGUAAUUAAAUACCUUUGUGAAUCAGCAAACAUCCUUGGGAGAGAACCCAGGACAGCUUAUCUUCCUGCUUUAACAUACACAUCCCGCACACCACAGUGAAAAUGGUUAUUCUUUCACUACAAAAGAUAUGGCCUUCCAGCAUGUAAGUCUUUCUUCAGGACUGUUCCACUCAAGCAACUUCAGAGGUGACACCGAUGACGGAGGUAAGGAAUGAAGCAAUGGGAAAUAUUCACAGGGAACACCGAUGCCACAGAGAGAAGAAGGAGCUCCCAGUGUACUCCCACUAGAAGAAAGAGGUCCUAACAGAUGGCUUUUAGCCCCACUGAGACUACACAAGCAGAGCCAGCCCUGUGUGUGAAGUAUGCAUGUGGCCUGCAUGUAAAUCCAGCCAGCCCUUUGGAGCCUCUAGGGUACAGCACAGGUCUGUAUGGAAUAAGUACCCUACUGCACCAUUCUCGCCAAGGGACAGUCAGACAAACUAGGCUCCUAACGGCUUGUCACCCAUCCCACCUGGGCAGGGGCAGGGUACCUCCCCAGAGCUCAUCCUGGCGUUCUCUCUUUACCCACAUGUGCCCCACAAUGUACACGGUCUCUUCCCUGCACAAAACAAAGGAACUGGGAUGUGUUACACACAUGUUCCAACCCACACAAGGAAUGCAAACCUCAUGUACUGCAAACAUGAGAAAAACUAAAAAAG